UCUCUGUGAUGUAUUCCAAUAGAUCCUUCUGACCCUUUAAUGUGUACUCAAUAAAAGGGAAAUGAAGAGAUAAUACCUGAGAGA
ensembl:snoRNA SNORD62 Small nucleolar RNA SNORD62